AUUGAACGCUGGCGGAAUGCUUUACACAUGCAAGUCGAGCGGCAGCGCGGCCUUCGGGCUGGCGGCGAGCGGCGAACGGGUGAGUAAUGCAUCGGAACAUGCCCAGUCGUGGGGGAUAACACUUCGAAAGAAGUGCUAAUACCGCAUACGUCCUGAGGGGGAAAGCGGGGGAUCGCAAGACCUCGCGCGAUUGGAGUGGCCGAUGUCAGAUUAGCUAGUUGGUGGGGUAAAGGCCUACCAAGGCGACGAUCUGUAGCUGGUCUGAGAGGAUGAUCAGCCACACUGGGACUGAGACACGGCCCAGACUCCUACGGGAGGCAGCAGUGGGGAAGUUUGGACAAUGGGGGCAACCCUGAUCCAGCCAUUCCGCGCGAGUGAAGAAGGCCUUCGGGUUGUAAAGCUCUUUCGGCAGGAACGAAACGGUGGGCUCUAACAUAGUCCGCUAAUGACGGUACCUGAAGAAGAAGCACCGGCUAACUACGUG
rnacentral:rRNA from 1 species